CUCUUAUAAAUUGAAUCAUUUUAUAUUAUGUAUGUAAUAAAUAAUGAUCACUUUCAACAACGGAUCUCUUGUUUUCUCGCAUCGAUGAAGAUCGCGGCGCACUGCGAUUAAGUAAUGUGAGUUGCAGUAUUCCGUUGCAUCAUCGAAUCUU
rnacentral:rRNA from 1 species